rnacentral:rRNA from 1 species
GAUAAACGCUGGCGGCGUGCUUUACGCAUGCAAGUCGUACGAUUUCGAUUUAUCGGAAUAGUGGCAAACGGGUGAGUAACACGUAAGUAACUUACCCCUAAGUAGGGGAUAACUCCGGGAAACCGGGGCUAAUACCGUAUGUGGUGAGGAGGUAAUGCUCCAUCACUAAAGUCUUCGGGCGCUUGGGGAGAGGCUUGCGUCUGAUUAGCUAGUUGGUAGGGUAACGGCUUACCAAGGCGACGAUCAGUAGCUGGUCUGAGAGGACGGUCAGCCACACUGGGACUGAGACACGGCCCAGACUCCUACGGGAGGCAG